rnacentral:rRNA from 1 species
ACUCAAAUGAAUUGACGGGGGCCCGCACAAGCGGCGGAGCAUGUUGCUUAAUUCGAUGCAACGCGAAGAACCUCACCUAGGUUGAACUAUGCAGGAAAAGCCACAGAGAUGUGGUGUCCUUCGGGGCCUGUGAUAGGUGGUGCAUGGCUGUCGUCAGCUCGUGUCGUGAGAUGUUGGGUUAAGUCCCGCAACGAGCGCAACCCUUAUUCUGUGUUGCCAGCGCGUAAUGGCGGGGACUCGCAGGAGACUGCCGGGGUCAACUCGGAGGAAGGUGGGGACGACGUCAAGUCAUCAUGCCCCUUACGUCUAGGGCUGCAAACAUGCUACAAUGGCUGGUACAACGGGCUGCGAGACCGCGAGGUUAAGCGAAUCCCUUAAAGCCAGUCUCAGUUCGGAUUGGAGUCUGCAACUCGACUCCAUGAAGCUGGAGUCGCUAGUAAUCCCGGAUCAGCAUUGCCGGGGUGAAUACGUUCCCGGGCCUUGUACACACCGCCCGU